rnacentral:rRNA from 1 species
GACGUAGGGCGCGAGCGUUGUCCGGAUUUAUUGGGCGUAAAGAGCUCGUAGGCGGCUUGUUGCGUCAGCUGUGAAAACCCGCAGCUCAACUGUGGGCUUGCAGCUGAUACGGGCAGGCUUGAGUUCGGUAGGGGAGACUGGAAUUCCUGGUGUAGCGGUGAAAUGCGUAGAUAUCUGGAGGAAUACCGGUGGCGAAGGCGGCAUCCUGGACCGACAUUGACGCUGAGUGAGCGAAAGCUAGGGGAGCAAACGGG